AUUGAACGCUGGCGGCAUGCCUUACACAUGCAAGUCGAACGGCAGCACGGGAGCAAUCCUGGUGGCGAGUGGCGAACGGGUGAGUAAUAUAUCGGAACGUGCCCAGUCGUGGGGAUAACGUAGCGAAAGCUACGCUAAUACCGCAUACGAUCUACGGAUGAAAGCGGGGGAUCGCAAGACCUCGCGCGAUUGGAGCGGCCGAUAUCAGAUUAGGUAGUUGGUGAGGUAAAGGCUCACCAAGCCGACGAUCUGUAGCUGGUCUGAGAGGACGACCAGCCACACUGGGACUGAGACACGGCCCAGACUCCUACGGGAGGCAGCAGUGGGGAAUUUUUGGACAAUGGGCGCAAGCCUGAUCCAGCAAUGCCGCGUGCAGGAUGAAGGCCCUCGGGUUGUAAACUGCUUUUGUACGGAACGAAAGGUUUCUAUUAAUACUAGGAGCUCAUGACGGUACCGUAAGAAUAAGCACCGGCUAACUACGU
rnacentral:rRNA from 1 species